rnacentral:rRNA from 1 species
UGGCGAUGCUCUUAAGCAUGCAAGUCGAGCGGGCUUAUUCGGGCAACUGGAUAAGUUAGCGGCGAACUGGUGAGUAACACGUAGGUAAUCUGCCGUGAAGUGGGGGAUAACCCAUGGAAACAUGGACUAAUACCGCAUAUACUCUUGCUACAUAAGUAGAGUAGAGGAAAGUUUUUUCGCUUCACGAUGAGCCUGCGGCCUAUUAGCCUGUUGGUAGGGUAAUGGCCUACCAAAGCUACGAUAGGUAGCCGACCUGAGAGGGUGACCGGCCACAUUGGGACUGAGAUACGGCCCAGACUCCUACGGGAGGCAGCAGCUGAGAAUCUUCCACAAUGGACGAAAGUCUGAUGGAGCGACAUCGCGUGAGGGAUGAAGGCCUUCGGGUUGUAAACCUCGGAAAUUAUCGAAGAAUGAGUGACAGUAGAUAAUGUAAGCCUCGGG